rnacentral:rRNA from 1 species
UACGUAGGGUCCGAGCGUUGUUCGGAAUUACUGGGCGUAAAGCGCACGUAGGCGGCUUUGUAAGUUAGAGGUGAAAGCCCGGGGCUCAACUCCGGAAUUGCCUUUAAGACUGCAUCGCUAGAAUUGUGGAGAGGUAAGUGGAAUUCCGAGUGUAGAGGUGAAAUUCGUAGAUAUUCGGAAGAACACCAGUGGCGAAGGCGACUUACUGGACACAUAUUGACGCUGAGGUGCGAAAGCGUGGGGAGCAAACAGG